rnacentral:rRNA from 1 species
UGGGAAUUUGGACAAUGGGCGAAAGCCUGAUCCAGCAAUGCCGCGUGUGUGAAGAAGGCCUUCGGGUUGUAAAGCACUUUUGUCCGGAAAGAAAUCCUUGGCUCUAAUACAGUCGGGGGAUGACGGUACCGGAAGAAUAAGCACCGGCUAACUACGUGCCAGCAGCCGCGGUAAUACGUAGGGUGCAAGCGUUAAUCGGAAUUACUGGGCGUAAAGCGUGCGCAGGCGGUUUGCUAAGACCGAUGUGAAAUCCCCGGGCUCAACCUGGGAACUGCAUUGGUGACUGGCAGGCUAGAGUAUGGCAGAGGGGGGUAGAAUUCCACGUGUAGCAGUGAAAUGCGUAGAGAUGUGGAGGAAUACCGAUGGCGAAGGCAGCCCCCUGGGCCAAUACUGACGCUCAUGCACGAAAGCGUGGGGAGCAAACAGGAUUAGAUACCCUGGUAGUCCACGCCCUAAACGAUGUCAACUAGUUGUUGGGGAUUCAUUUCCUUAGUAACGUAGCUAACGCGUGAAGUUGACCGCCUGGGGAGUACGGUCGCAAGAUUAAAACUCAAAGGAAUUGACGGGGUC